rnacentral:lncRNA from 1 species
CAGCAGCUCGGCCGCAGCGCUCCCUCGGUGUCUGCUGCAGCAGCAGCACGGGGCUGUGGGGCACUGGGGGCGGCUGGGGGCUCUGAGCGGGGCUCCUGGGGUCACCCAAAUAAACCACUGCAGGUGUGGGGAGAUCUGCACCGCAACGCCCCGAGGUGCUCCAAGAACCCCCAAGGGUUUCUGCAAUGGUUCUUAACCGUGAACUUUUUGCUGCUUUGGAAACGCUUCUCACCCACUGGGCUUUCUGCUGGGGCGUUCGCCCCUUGGUGUAAGGUAGCUCAGUGAGUCAAGAAUUGCUUCGCCUGAUCACAGCAGGGCUUCUGGGCGCGUCUGACAGGUGAGAAAACGAGCAAGAAGCAGAGAGAUGCCACAGACGCUGCCGAGCAGAGCUGCUGCAAACAGCGCAGCGCUCGGAGCCGGGAGCCCCGCAGCGGCCGCGUGCGCCCCGAGCCGCGCGGUGACAGCGGGCGCUGCGUGACCGCCCCCAGCCCCGGGGCGGCCGUCGGUGUGACUCCUCUAAUUAAAAAUCCAGGAAAUGUAAAUGCGGGAGCGGUGAGUUUAAUGGUAGGUGACAGGAUUCCUCCCCACCCCCCUCCCAUUGUUACAUUUUAAUUUCAAAUUUUAAUGAAGAUUUCAGGGAGCAUUAACGUAAAAGGAAUGUGAAAGCAGCACAGGGCUGAAUAAUUUCAUAGAGCUACGGGGCACGAGCAGCCCCUCCCGCACCGCCGCGCUCUGUGAUGUUCAGCCCGUGGGGCCCCGCAGCCCCGGGGGAGGUCUCAGCAAACAUCCCCUCCCCUCGCAACACGCAGCCCCCGGGGGGGCCCCGCUGUGCCUUGCGCAGCCAGAACGGAUCCGGAGCAAUUCCCAAAGCACACGCGAUGGAGAGCGGGGAGGGCGGGCGGAGCUCCGAGCUUGGUGUUAGGGUGGUUUGUGGCUGGUGACCAAAACGCGGUGAGCGCGAGGCGCGGGGCCGUGCUGCCAGAGGCGGCUGGGGAUGCGGGGCCGCUUCCUCCGGCGCAGUUUGCUCCCAUCUCCUCCUGCUGAAUUCUGCGUCAAGUCACAAACCGCCUCGCCCCGCGCACCUGGGGGCUCCUCCGGGUGCGUGCGGAGCAAACGCGAUUCGCUGAAC